GCCGUUGUAGCUCAGAAGGUAGAGCAUUUCCAUGGUAAGGAAAAGGUCCCAGGUUCAAAUCCUGGCAAUGGCU
rnacentral:tRNA from 14 species